UGUAAGCGUAUACCCAAGUUGUUGCAGUUAAAACGCUCGUAGUCGGAAUUUGGCAGUUCCGGAUGUGUGCACGUCGUGUGCGCACUUCGCGGGGAUUGCUUUUGUGGUCUUGCGUAGGAUGAGGCACUUUUAUUAGUGAACGUCCUCACGCAACCACUUUUUACUGUGAGAAAAUCAGAGUGCUCAAAGCAGGCAUUUGCCGUGAAUGUAUUAGCAUGGAAUAAUAGAAUAGGACUUGGUUCUAUUUUGUUGGUUUGUUGGGACUGAGUAAUGAUUAAGAGGGACAGUUGGGGGCAUUUGUAUUUCGGUGCUAGAGGUGAAAUUCUUAGAUUACCGAAAGACAAACUGCUGCGAAAGCGUCUGCCAAGGAUGUUUUCAUUGA
rnacentral:rRNA from 1 species